GUUUGACAAAAGGUUCAACCGUUUUAUCCUACGAAAAUAUAAGGAAAAAAAAUAUAUACGUAAUAAAACUAGCUGGGAAAAAAAAAGAAUAUUUUGUCUUUUGGCGAAAGCAGAAAAAUGUUACUCGUCGUGGGGAUCAAAUUCGCAACGUUGUGACGUGCGAUGUGAAAAACUAGAAUGCUGGAUCAUACGUAUGUCACGGGAAUAUGACACCGACAAUUUUCUUUGUCAUGAAUAUAAAAUAAUUGCUUAGAUUUUUCGAACUAUACAUCUAAGGGGAAUAUUUCAAAAUCGGUACCAUGACCUUUUUAACGAUCGUCGCCGGUGUCUUCGAGAUCGGUCUCCUCUUCAUUUUGACCGGAUUUCUCGUCACCUUGGCAGUCUUAUCUCACAUCAUGGAAUGGACAUUCGCGAUAGUGAAUCCAAUAAUUAAUAUAUUUUUACAUCAAGUCAACGAGCUGAUAAUUCUGCUGAUCAUCCCAACGGCCAGAUUGUCAUCCCGGAUAAUGGCGGAAAUGUUUCCCUGUCAAGUACCACCUGAUUCGUCAGAUUGCCCAGCUGUAAUCGCCAACAUCGAAGAAAUUGUCUGCGACGAUACGAACGACGCUACGUCUUCACCUCCACUUUUGGAUCUUCAAGGUUUUCAGGAUAUCCGCGAAGAAAUUAUUACCGAAGACCAGACGACGAUCUAACAACGAAAUUCAAUUAAUGAAGGAGAAGCCCCACCGAAGCUGCAGGUUUACUCGAACUGCAUUCCUGUAUAUCAUCGUGCCGCAUCGUAUUUUCUGUGCAGAGGGAUAUGAUGCGCGAAAUACUAUAGAUACACAUAUUUAUAUUUGUUCAAGAUGAAACCUUGGCAGUCGUGGAGCAUACUCCAUCGCGCAUCCAGGACGAAAGACUCAUCAGCGCGUCUGCGGAAUUGUUUAUCAUCUGUGUCAAUCGGAUGAGAAUACUUACAUGAAAUAAAAUGUAGCCAUAGAUCAUUUACUUUCACAAAUAAUUGGGAUGUUAACGCUAUGAACUAUUUUCAUCAGU
rnacentral:misc_RNA from 1 species